rnacentral:rRNA from 1 species
UACGUAGGGGACGAGCGUUGUCCGGAAUUACUGGGCGUAAAGGGCGCGCAGGCUGUAGAUCAAGUCAGCUGUGAAAUGUCUGGGCUUAACCCAGGCAUGCGGUUGAAACUGAUGUACUGGAGUGCUGUAGAGGCAAGUGGAAUUCCCAGUGUAGCGGUGAAAUGCGUAGAUAUUGGGAAGAACACCGGUGGCGAAGGCGACUUGCUGGGCAGCAACUGACGCUGAGGCGCGAAAGCCAGGGGAGCAAACGGGGAUUAGA